AGGUUGGCUCAGAAGCAGCCAUCCUUUAAAGAGUGCGUAACAGCUCACUAGUCGAGUGACCCUGCGCCGAAAAUGUACCGGGGCUAAGCCUGAUACCGAAACUGCGGAUUGUAGGAAACUAUAGUGGUAGGGGAGCGUUGUAUACGAGUAGAAGCCGUACCGUGAGGAGCGGUGGAUUGUAUAGAAGUGAGAAUGCCGGUGUGAGUAGCGAGAUGUAGGUGAGAAUCCUACACACCGAAAGCCCAAGGAUUCCAGGGGAAGGUUCGUCCGCCCUGGGUAAGUCGGGACCUAACGCGAGGCCGAAAGGCGUAGUGGAUGGAAAGCAGGCGAAAGAUUCCUGCACCCGUAUAUGGAGCGAAGGAGUGACGGAGACGGAUAGUGUGACCCUCUUAAUGGAUUGAGGGCGAAGCGAAGCGGCUGGUUACCAGGCAAAUCCGGUAACCAUAAGGCUAGAGCGUGAUAGGUAAGCGAAAUCUUCGGAAAGUAGCGAAGCACAUGAUGACGGCUUCCAGGAAAAGCUUCUGGCAAUGCAUAUGCGGCCCGUACCAAAACCGACACAGGUGGGCAGGGAGAGAAUCCCGAGGUGAGCGAGAGAACUGUUGCCAAGGAACUCGGCAAAAUGACUCCGUAAGUUAGCGAGAAGGAGUGCUUAAGCAAUUAAGCCGCAGUGAAGAGGCCCAAGCGACUGUUUAACUAAAACACAGCUCUCUGCGAAGUCGCAAGACGAAGUAUAGGGGGUGACACCUGCCCGGUGCUGGAAGGUUAAGAGGAUCUGUUAAGAGCGAUCUGAAGCAGUGAUCCGAAGCCCCAGUGAACGGCGGCCGUAACUAUAACGGUCCUAAGGUAGCGAAAUUCCUUGUCAGGUAAGUUCUGACCCGCACGAAAGGUGUAACGAUUUGGGCGCUGUCUCGGCAGCAGACUCGGUGAAAUCUUAGUACCUGUGAAAAUGCAGGUUACCCGCAACUAGACGGAAAGACCCCAUGGAGCUUUACUGCAGCCUGAUAUUGAAUUCUGGUCAUACAUGUACAGGAUAGGUGGGAGACAAAGAGACGUGCACGCCAGUGUACGAGGAGUCGACGUUGGGAUACCACUCUUGUGUGACCGGGGUUCUAACCUGGUAUCGAAAACAGGUACGGGGAGAGUGUCAGGUGGGCAGUUUGACUGGGGCGGUCGCCUCCCAAAGAGUAACGGAGGCGCCCAAAGGUACGCUCAGAUUGGAUGGAAACCAAUCGACGAGUGCAAUUGCAGAAGCGUGCUUGACUGUGAGACUUACAAGUCGAACAGGGACGAAAGUCGGGAAUAGUGAUCCGGCGGUGCCGAAUGGAAGGGCCGUCGCUCAACGGAUAAAAGCUACCCUGGGGAUAACAGGCUGAUCUCGCCCAAGAGUUCACAUCGACGGCGAGGUUUGGCACCUCGAUGUCGGCUCAUCGCAUCCUGGAGCUGAAGUCGGUUCCAAGGGUUGGGCUGUUCGCCCAUUAAAGCGGUACGCGAGCUGGGUUCAGAACGUCGUGAGACAGUUCGGUCCCUAUCUGUUGUGGGCGAAGGAGAUCUGCGGAGAGCUGUCCUCAGUACGAGAGGACCGGGAUGGACCUACCGCUGGUGCACCGGUUGUUCCGCCAGGGGCAUAGCCGGGUAGCUAAGUAGGGAAAGGAUAAGCGCUGAAAGCAUCUAAGCACGAAGCCUACUCCAAGAUGAGAUCUCCCAUUCGCAAGAAGUAAGACCCCUUAAAGACGAUAAGGUAGAUAGGCCAGAGAUGGAAGUGCAGUGAUGUACGGAGUUGACUGGUACUAAUCGGUCGAGGACUUAAUCAG
rnacentral:rRNA from 1 species